CAGGGCAGCUGCUCUCGCGAGAACUGAGGACCCAUUUUUCUAAGAGAGCGUCGUGGUGCCAGUGCCUGCAGGUUCUGUGAGGAAGCGGCAUCAGGGGUCCCUCAGGUUCAGGGAUCGCCUCUAACUUCCCAGGACAGCCAACCAUGGAGCCCGUGGGCAGGAAGCGCAGCAGGAAGGCUGCCAAAGCUCAGUUGGAGGCUCAAGUUAGGGCCGCCCCGGCGAAGAAGCACACAGGUUCAGGGGUCGCCUCUAACUUCCCAGGACAGCCAACCAUGGAGCCCGUGGGCAGGAAGCGCAGCAGGAAGGCUGCCAAAGCUCAGUUGGAGGCUCAAGUUAGGGCCGCCCCGGCGAAGAAGCACACAGGAAAGGAUCCAGUCAGUGACGAAUGUGAGGAAAGAAACCCUUUUACAGAAACAAGGGAGGGAGAUGUAACUGAUGAGCAUGGGGAAAGAGAACCUUUUGCUGAAACAGAUGAACACACGGGGAUUCAUACCAUGAAGCUAGAAUAUAUUGCAGCUGACAUUAAAAAGGGCCUUGCUGCAAUAAGAGAAAUGAUAAAAAUAGAUAAAGCAGCUUACAGGGAAACCAAGAACACAAUUGAAUGUGCUUUGAAAAAAAAACAACUAAAAAGGCAGAAACGUGAUUAUAGACAUACUCGGAAGUUGCUGAAUGUCCUUAAAGAAUACAUCGCAGAGAAGCAGAAAGAUGAUGAAGCAGAAGAAGCAGAAGCCGCAGCAGCAGCAGCAGAAGCCGCCGCAGCAGCAGAAGCCGCAGCAGCAGCAGCAGCAGCAGCAGCAGAAGUAAUAGUAGUAGAAGAUGAAGAGGAGGAAGAGAAGGAGGAGGAGGAGGAGAAAGAAGAGGAGGAAGAAGAAGGAGAAGAAGAAGGAGGAGGAGAAGAAGGAGAAGAAGAAGGAGGAGGAGGAGAAGGAGAAGAAACAGAAGAAGAAGAGGAAGAGGAAGAAGAAGGAGGAGGAGGAGAAGGAGAAGAAACAGAAGAAGAAGAGGAAGAGGAAGAAGAAGGAGGAGGAGGAGAAGGAGAAGAAACAGAAGAAGAAGAGGAAGAGGAAGAAGAAGAAGAGGAAGAGGAAGAAGAAGAAGAAGAGGAAGAGGAAGAAGAACAAAUUGUUGAAAGCAUUUCAAGAAAAACAGAAGAGAUGGCAACAACCUACAGGUGUUAGGAGCUGGAGGCUGAGAGAGAUGAAGCCGCUACUUGAGCAAUUACUACAGGCUGCCAAGGACACUAAAGACAAUUAUUGCAUCAUUUCUUCCAGUGAAGAAAGUGAACUUGAUAACUAGCCGUGUUUUUAAAAAGAAUCGUGUCAGAACUCUUUUGGAAGAGUUGGCACUUCAUUGUCUCUUCAACCUCUGUUAUUCUGAUGACUGAAGAAAGAACUUGAACCUAUGUUAUAUGAUACAAGCACAACUUGAGCUACAGUAAACUACAUGACAGUGUUUUGAUAAUUGUUGUAUAAAUUCAUAUAGCUCCUCUGUCAUUUGUCUGUUAAAUGCCAGACCUCGUUUCUAUGAUCGGUUGAAUGAAUCCUAGACACUUCUGUGAGAAAGCAGGGAUUGCACAGUUAUGUACACGGUCAAUUAAAUUUUAACAUUAAAGAUAAUUUAGAUUUCGA